AAUCCUACGGGAGGCAGCAGUGAGGAAUAUUGGUCAAUGGUCGGGAGACUGAACCAGCCAAGUCGCGUGAGGGAGGAAGGUACAGAGUAUCGUAAACCUCUUUUGUCGGAGAACAAAACCCGGGACGUGUCCCGGACUGCGUGUAUCCGAAGAAAAAGCAUCGGCUAACUCCGUGCCAGCAGCCGCGGUAAUACGGAGGAUGCGAGCGUUAUCCGGAUUUAUUGGGUUUAAAGGGUGCGUAGGCGGUCCGUUAAGUCAGCGGUAAAAUUGCGGGGCUCAACCCCGUCGAGCCGUUGAAACUGGCG
rnacentral:rRNA from 1 species